GGUACGCGAGCUGGGUUCAGAACGUCGUGAGACAGUUCGGUCCCUAUCCGUCGCAGGCGUAGGAAAUUUGAGAAGACCUGUCCUUAGUACGAGAGGACCGGGAUGGACGUACCUCUGGUGUACCAGUUGUUCUGCCAAGGGCAUGGCUGGGUAGCUGUGUACGGAAUGGAUAAGCGCUGAAAGCAUCUAAGCGCGAAGCCAACUUCAAGAUAAGAUUUCCCACCGCAAGGGUAAGACCCCAGAAAGACUAUCUGGUUGAUAGGUCGAAGGUGUAAGUGCAGA
rnacentral:rRNA from 1 species